UACGUAGGGGGCGAGCGUUGUUCGGAAUUAUUGGGCGUAAAGGGCGCGCAGGCGGCCCUCCAAGUCAGGCGUGAAAGCCCCGGGCUCAACCCGGGAAUAGCGCUUGAGACUGGGGGGCUUGAGUUCGGGAGAGGAGAGUGGAAUUCCCAGUGUAGAGGUGAAAUUCGUAGAUAUUGGGAAGAACACCGGUGGCGAAGGCGGCUCUCUGGACCGACACUGACGCUGAGGCGCGAAGGCGUGGGGAGCGAACGGG
rnacentral:rRNA from 1 species